UACGUAGGGUGCGAGCGUUAAUCGGAAUUACUGGGCGUAAAGCGUGCGCAGGCGGUUUGUUGGGUCUGAUGUGAAAGCCCCGGGCUUAACCUGGGAAUGGCAUUGGAAACUGGCGAGCUGGAGUGUGGCAGAGGGGGGUGGAAUUCCGCGUGUAGCAGUGAAAUGCGUAGAGAUGCGGAGGAACACCGAUGGCGAAGGCAGCCCCCUGGGCUGACACUGACGCUCAGGCACGAAAGCGUGGGGAGCAAACAGG
rnacentral:rRNA from 1 species